CAGCUCAACUGGACGCAGAGACACAGAGGAACGAGAAGGUCCAACUCUCACACUUGGCGCUGGAGUACACCAUGAUCAACCUCGAAGCGCCCCCUGGGCCCCACGCCAGCCCCAGCCCGUGCGCAGAGACCCAGGGCCUCAGCCAGACUUCAGAGGAAGAGGAAGCCCCUUCCCAGGACCCGGAGGGGGACAUGAUCCCAGGGCCUCCCCUCCACAUGUCUGGGGAGGAGCUCAGCUUCUCAAAGUUCAUAUCAGUCUAGCGGUGCCCUCCAGGCCGGCCGGCCGGGAAUCUGAAUGGCUGCAUUUGCGCUAACUCCCAUAAGCUUUCCUCGACAGCUUCAGAGCUUGCCUGCCAGACUCCGGGCUCUCCCCUGCCAUCCCCAGGCCCUCCUCCUGCAUGCCCAGCCUGACCCGGAAGUCUUUGUCAGCCCCGGGGCCUGCAGUGGUGGCCUCACAGAAUGAGUGGGACCCUGGGACCUCCUCGGUAUGUGCACAUUGGGGCAGGGCGUGCAGCUGGAGCUCGCCAGAGCCAGGCAAGGCUCAGGAGAUCUGGUCUGAGUUUGUAUCCGUUACAAGAAAUCCUCUGCGGCCGGGUGCCCAGCAAAAGACCCCCACCUUCUUCUCCCUUCCUUCCAUCCUGACUCAGCACCACUUUCUCCUGCAUAAGUGGGCGAGGAGGAGGAGCAUGCUGGGAAUAGACGGGGUUCUGAGUUCUCAAAAUGGGACUGCAUCCCAGUCCUUCGGGAGGCUGGUUAAAAAUGUGACUCCUGGGCUCUACCAAGACCUACCAAAACCCUCUCUGGGGCUGGACCCACAGCUUUGCAUUUCUAACAAGUGUCCGAUGACUCUAAUACUUGAAUUUGAGAAGCAGUAGAUUCAGGUUCAUCCACGUUAGAGUCUGCAUUUGGUGUGUGGGGUCUCCCACCUGCCCCUCCCCCCAUAGGGGCUUCUCUGCCUAAGACACCAUGACCCAGCUAGGGGCUUUCCUGGGCCGGUCCGAGUCCAGGCCCAGGUCAGGUGCGCAUUGGAAAGGGGUGAGCCCAGGACUGACGGAGGGGUUACAUUUCCCAGCUCCCCACCCAGCCCUGCAUCCCAGGCUUUGGAAGGAGGCCGGAGAAAAGCUUGGCUCCUUCCCUGUUGAGAAAGGGUUAAUUGCCUGUGGGUUGGGGUUAGGGAGGGGUAGGAAAGCACAGGGUGCGGGUGGGCAUCUAAAAGGCAGGAGAGAGAGGACAGGGCAGGAACCUAGGAGGAACCUGAAGGUGACUCUGAGUCUGGCCCCCUGGAGAUCAGGAAGCAGGAGGGGGUAGAAUAACAGGAUUGCUAUUUUUUUUCUUUUUUGACUUUCUUUAAAAAGUGAAAUGGGUGGUUGCUCAGUAUACAAAAGUUAGAAACAUGGCGGGGAGGAGAAGAAAAUUCACUCAGGCUCACCAUUCCCCCAGAUAAUCACAGCUGCGUUUUGUUGCAUUUCCUUCCUGUUUUUUUACUCCACAUCAUUUGCUGGUGUUCUCCGACAAAUUAGUUUGUAUAUACAACUUUAGAUCCUGCUUUUUCCACGUAAUUUUUUUUUUUUUAAGAUUUCUAUUUGUAAGUAAUCUCGACACC